UACGUAGGGGGCGAGCGUUGUCCGGAUUUAUUGGGCGUAAAGAGCUCGUAGGCUUGGCAAGUCGGGUGUGAAACCUCCAGGCUCAACCUGGAGACGCCACUCGAUACUGCUAUGGCUAGAGUCCGGUAGGGGACCACGGAAUUCCUGGUGUAGCGGUGAAAUGCGCAGAUAUCAGGAGGAACACCGGUGGCGAAGGCGGUGGUCUGGGCCGGCACUGACGCUGAGGAGCGAAAGCGUGGGUAGCAAACAGG
rnacentral:rRNA from 1 species